rnacentral:rRNA from 1 species
GACAGAGGGGGCGAGCGUUGUCCGGAGUCACUGGGCGUAAAGCGCGCGCAGGCGGCAACCUAAGUGUCGUGUGAAAGCCCCCGGCUCAACCGGGGGAGGCCAUGGCAAACUGGGUCGCUCGAGCUGCGGAGAGGCCCCUCGAAUUGCCGGUGUAGCGGUGAAAUGCGUAGAGAUCGGCAGGAAGACCAAGGGGGAAGCCAGGGGGCUGGCCGCAGGCUGACGCUGAGGCGCGACAGCGUGGGGAGCGAAUGGG